rnacentral:rRNA from 1 species
UACAGAGGUCCCAAGCGUUGUUCGGAUUCAUUGGGCGUAAAGGGUGCGUAGGUGGCGGGGCAAGUCUGGUGUGAAAUCCCGGGGCUCAACCCUGGAACUGCACUGGAUACUGCUUUGCUAGAGUACUGGAGAGGGAACUGGAAUUUACGGUGUAGCAGUGAAAUGCGUAGAUAUCGUAAGGAAGACCAGUGGCGAAGGCGAGUUCCUGGACAGUUACUGACACUGAGGCACGAAGGCCAGGGGAGCAAACGGG